UGCAGUCGAGGGGCAGCGCAGUGUAGCAAUACAUGGGCGGCGACCGGCAAACGGGUGCGGAACACGUACGCAACCUUCCUUCAAGCGGGGCAUAGCUUUCGGAAACGAAAAUUAAUACCCCAUAGUAAUGUCUGAGGGCAUCUGAGGACAUUUAAAGAUUUAUCACUUGAAGAUGGGCGUGCGCCUGAUUAGGUAGUUGGCGGGGUAACGGCCCACCAAGCCUACGAUCAGUAACUGGUGUGAGAGCACGACCAGUCACACGGGCACUGAGACACGGGCCCGACUCCUACGGGAGGCAGCAGUAAGGAAUAUUGGUCAAUGGACGCAAGUCUGAACCAGCCAUGCCGCGUGGAGGAUGAAGGUCCUCUGGAUUGUAAACUUCUUUUAUCGGAGAAGAAACCCCUGAAUUCUUUUAGGGUUGACGGUACCCGAUGAAUAAGCACCGGCUAACUCCGUGCCAGCAGCCGCGGUAAUACGGAGGGUGCAAGCGUUAUCCGGAUUCACUGGGUUUAAAGGGAGCGUAGGUGGGCUGGUAAGUCAGUGGUGAAAUCUCCGGGCUUAACUCGGAAACUGCCGUUGAUACUAUCAGUCUUGAAUGUUGUGGAGGUAAGCGGAAUAUGUCAUGUAGCGGUGAAAUGCUUAGAUAUGACAUAGAACACCGAUAGCGAAGGCAGCUUGCUACACAAUUAUUGACACUGAGGCUCGAAAGCGUGGGGAUCAAACAGGAUUAGAUACCCUGGUAGUCCACGCCCUAAACGAUGGAUACUCGACAUAUGCGAUACACUGUAUGUGUCUGAGCGAAAGCAUUAAGUAUCCCACCUGGGAAGUACGACCGCAAGGUUAAACUCAAAGGAAUUG
rnacentral:rRNA from 1 species